UUACUCGUUUCGGCGGUACAUAUACUAAAAUUGGGACGAUACAGAGAUUAGCAUGGUCCCUGCUCAAGGAUGACACGCAAAAUCGUUUAGUUGCACUUAGUUUU
rfam:Schistosoma curassoni strain Dakar, Senegal genome assembly, scaffold: SCTD_scaffold0011130